GACCUAAUAGCACAACUGGUUAGUGCAUCUGCUGAAAAUGAGUAAUGAACAAUAUUAAGCAGAAGACCCGGUUCAAUUCGGGGUUGGGUCA